rnacentral:lncRNA from 1 species
UGAACUCUCGACACAACUUAAUAAUGAUGUGGGUGUUAACAACUAUUCGGGUACAAGAACUGGUUGGCGGAACCGUCUCGUUAACAACAAACAUUGUAGUAACAUUUUGCUUUCAACCCCUUUUGUUGUAGGAUAAAACUGGCUUUAUGCAAAACUUAGCCCCACCGGACAAAUAUGCAUGUAGAGAUAGUUGAUUGUUAUUUUACUCCU